rnacentral:ribozyme from 1 species
UUUUCUUUUUCUUUUUUUUUCUUUUUCUUCUUCUUUCUUUGGC